GACGUAGGUGGCAAGCGUUGUCCGGAAUUACUGGGCGUAAAGCGUGCGCAGGCGGUUUUGUAAGACAGUGGUGAAAUCCCCGGGCUCAACCUGGGAACUGCCGUUGUGACUGCAAAGCUAGAGUGCGGCAGAGGGGGAUGGAAUUCCGCGUGUCGCAGUGAAAUGCGUAGAUAUGCAGAGGAACACCGAUGGCGAAGGCAAUCCCCUGGGCCUGCACUGACGCUCAUGCACGAAAGCGUGGGGAGCAAACAGGAUUAGAUACCCUGGUAGUCCACGCCCUAAACGAUGUCAACUGGUUGUUGGGUCUUAACUGACUCAGUAACGAAGCUAACGCGUGAAGUUGACCGCCUGGGGAGUACGGCCGCAAGGUUGAA
rnacentral:rRNA from 1 species